UCAGUGCCUAUAUUGUGUUCACCAUCUAAGGAACCUUCAUGUGUGCAGGCUAGCAGGAAAAGCAGAGAGGAUCUCCCAGGAAAAUACUCUAUUUGUGCUACAUCCUCCAAAAGAGGAGUGAAGACAGUGUCACUGCUGUGUCAAUAUCAGGAAAGAUAAAGGAGCUGGGGCAUGAAGAGGUAUACGACUUGGCCAAAGGCAAAAAAACCUAGGCAGCCUGAACUGAGCCCAGCGGGACUCCCCAUCACCUGUAGUAGCUGAGAACAUCGCGGUCCUCCUUCUGCCCUUCUUUGGCAUCUUGGGCCAGUUCCCGGACACUUUUGCUGCGAAUCUCCUUGUUGCUGUCCCUCCAAAAGAGCCACACCUCUUCCUCGUCUUCUCCUGCUUCCAGAGCAUUCUCUCCAGUAGAAACACCCUCAAAUUCAAAACGAGAAAGAACCAGCCUGGAAAAUAAGAGGAGGAGGAGUGAAAACUCCUUAUGUUAGCAAUACUUGCUAAUCUAAGAUCAACUCUAGCAAUA